AUGGCCGCGGCCGGUUUGGCCGGUCUUUGUAGAAGAGUCUCAACCACCCUUAAGGUUUCCAGGUCGUUACUAACGCCUCAGGUCCCUGCCGGCUCAAGUUGCAGGUUUUCUCUUAGUUUGUUGCCUGAGAAUACACCCAGUGUCACAUCCCUUCAGCAGUGUAGGUUACUUCAUACUACAUUGUCAAGGAAAGGACUGGAAGAAUUUUUUGAUGACCCAAAGAAUUGGGGGAAGAAAAAGUAAAAUCUGGAGCAGCAUGGACUUGUCAGCAAUUAAGGAACAAAAGUAACGAAGACUUACAUAAACUUUGGUAUAUCCUGCUAAAAGAGAGAAAUAUGCUGCUAACCCUGGAACAGGAGGCCAAGCGGCAGAGGUUACCAAUGCCAAGUCCAGAGCGGUUGGAGAAGGUAAUAGAGUCCAUUGAUGCAUUAGAUAAAGUUGUUCAGGAAAGAGAAGAUGCCCUAAGGCUUCUUCAGACUGGUCAAGAAAAAGUUAGACCUGGGGCUUGGAGAAGAGACAUUUUUGGAAGAAUCAUUUGGCACAAGUUCAAGCAGUGGCUUAUACCUUGGUACCUGAAUAAAAGAUGCAACAGGAAACGAUUCUUUGCAAUGCCUUAUGUGGACCGUUUUGUCAGACUGAGACAUGAGAAACAAGCCCACGUUACAGUGAGAAAGAAAAGUUUAGAGAAAAAGAAAGAAAAAUUUCUUCAAGAGAAGUUCCCACAUCUUUCUGAAGCUCAGAAGUCAAGUCUUGCCUAAGAUGUUUGAAUUCUUAAUGUAUCAUUUUAUUUAUCAUG